rnacentral:rRNA from 1 species
UACGGAGGGAGCUAGCGUUGUUCGGAAUUACUGGGCGUAAAGCGCACGUAGGCGGCUACACAAGUCAGAGGUGAAAGCCCGGGGCUCAACCCCGGAACUGCCUUUGAAACUAGGUGGCUAGAAUCUUGGAGAGGUCAGUGGAAUUCCGAGUGCAGAGGUGAAAUUCGUAGAUAUUCGGAAGAACACCAGUGGCGAAGGCGACUGACUGGACAAGUAUUGACGCUGAGGUGCGAAAGCGUGGGGAGCAAACAGGAUUAGAACCGACCGU